rnacentral:rRNA from 1 species
GGGGGGGGGGGGGGGGGGGGGGGGGGGGGGGGGGUGGGGGGGGGGUCGGGGGGUGUCGGCGGGGGGCGGGUGGGUAGCACGUGGGAACGUAGCCUUCGGUUCGGAGCAAGUCUGGGAGACGGGAGCUAAUACCGGAUACGCCCUGAUGGGGCAAGGGUUCCUGCCGAAGGGUCGGCCCGCGUCUGCUUAGCGGGGUGGUGGGGUACCGGCCUACCAAGGCGCCGAUCAGUAGCUGGUCUGCGAGGAUGAUCAGCCACACUGGGACUGAGACACGGCCCAGACUCCUACGGGAGGCAGCAGUGGGGAAUAUUGGACAAUGGGCGCAAGCCUGAUCCAGCCAUGCCGCGUGAGUGAUGAAGGCCUUAGGGUUGUAAAGCUCUUUUGUCCGGGACGAUAAUGACGGUACCGGAAGAAUAAGCCCCGGCUAACUUCGUG